AAAGAAGAAAAAUUUAAUUGUGUUUUUAAUUUCUUGAUGUAUGCCCUUUUUGUUACUAAACACAAUUCAUGCUUCACCUUCAUCGCUCGUUGUGUCUAUGCACAUGAACAGGCUGUGUAUGUGAUAUACUUCCCUUCCCAACUGACAAAGUGGUUGUCACAAAAGAUUUGCCAAGAUUUAAAAGGUCAAGGGGGAUAUUAAAGGUGAUCUAACUAUAGGAUCUUUGUACACACAUAUGUGUACAAAGAUGGACCAAGAACCGGACCUAGUUCAAGUCGAUCCACCACCGACCUGAUCCAAUUGCCAACCCUAUCCUAAACGCGUAAAUGUUCCUAGGGAUUACUCUAGGCAAUCUAUUUAUAUUGAAGUACAUUUUGGGAAAAGUAUUUCUUAUGAAAUAGAUUUCAGCUGUUUGAAUGCUACAUGGAUGUAUAACAUUUUCAUUUUUUUUUCAAAAAAUUCAUUAAAUAUUUUUAUUAUAUUAUUCAUUAUAAUGUCUUUUUUUUUAAUUAAAUUUAUGGUAGUUUCUCUCUCUAAAUAUUUGAGGUAAUAAAUCUCUAAAAUAUUUCAAAUAGUUUCUCUCUCUAAAAUUUGAUAUAGUUUCUCUCUCUUUAAAACUUAAAAUUUGAGAUAGUUUUUUACUCUAAAUUUUUUAAGAUAGCUUCUCUCACUAUGAAUGUUUAAGUACUUUCCCUCUCUAAAAAUUAAAAUUUGAAAUAGUUUUUGUCUAAAAAUUUUAAGUACUUUGUCUUUCUAAAAUUUGAUAUAGUUUCUCUGUAACGUUUUAAGGUACUUUUAUUUCUAAAACUUAAAAUAUGAGAUAGUUUCUCUCUCUAAAAAAUUUGAGAUACUCUUUAUAAAACUUAAAAUUUGAUAUAGUUUCUCUAUCUAAAAAAUUAAAAACAGUUUCUCUUUCUAAAAAUUUUCAAAUACUUUUUUUAUCUAAAAUUUAAAAUUUGAGAUAGUUUUUCUCUUUAAAAUUUUUGAUAUAGUUUCUCUCUCUAAAAUUUUGAGGUAUUUUCUCUCUCUCUAUAAAUUUUCAAGUACUUUAUCUCUCUAAAACAUAAAAUUUAAGAUAUUUCUUUUGAUAUAGUUUAUCUUUUUAAAUUUUUUGAGAUAUUUUUUUCUUCUGAAAAUUUUCAAUUACUUGCUCUCUCUAAAACUUAAAAUUCGAUAUAGUUUCUCUCUCUAAAAUUUGAUAAAUUUUAGAUAGUUUUUCUCUCUAAAAUAGAUAUAAUUUCUUUCUAAAAUUUUAAUAUACUUUCUCUCUCUAAAACUUAGAAUUUGAGAUAGUUUCUUUCUCUAAAAUUUUUGAAAUAAUAACUCUCUCUAAAAAAAGUUUAGUACUCUUUCUAAAACUUAAAUUUGAUAUAAUUUAUCUCUCUCUAAGAAUUUUCAGGUACUUUCUCUUGAUAAAACUUAAAAUUUGAGAUAAUUUUUCUCUUUAAAAAAAUUGAUAUAGUUUUUCUCUUUAUAAAUUUUCAAGUACUUUCUCUGUUUAAAACUCAAAAUUUGAGAUAGUUUUUCUCUUUAAUUUUUUUUGAGAUGGUUUCUCCCUCUAAAACUUUUUUUAUAUCGCCGUCUCUAAAAUUUGAUAUAGUUUCUCUCUCUAAUAUUUUAUGAUAUUCUCUUUAAAACUUAAAAUUUGAAAUAGUUUAUCUUUAUAAAAAUUAUAAGAUAAUUUUUUUCCAAAAAAAUUUGGAUAGUUUCUUUCUCUAAAAUUAGAAAUAGUUUGCUUCUCUAAAAUUUUAAAAUACUUUCUAUGUCUGAAAUGUAAAAUUUGAGGUAGUAUCUCUCACUAAUUUAAGGUCGUGUUUUUGUGAAAUUAAUUUCGGAGGGUAAAAACAAUCAUACAAUUUUAUUUAUUUUUAGGAUGAAACGAAGAAAGACGAAAAUAUAUUUCAGUCCCAAAAUUUCGAUGCAAACCCUAGAAAUGUGUCAUUUCCCCUCAAAUACAUUAUAAAAUGUAUUUCUUAAGUAUCCAAACGGCCCCGAUGGUUUUACAUGACGGUGGGAACAGAGUGUACAUGCCACCGCGGGAGUAAAAAAUAUUUUUUAACUCUCUUCAACUGAUACUAUAAAUAGUCCCGCCUAUUAAGCCUUCAGACUAGAAACGAAGUUUUGUUACUCUUAAGUCUUACUCAAGCCCAUGUAGAUGAUCAUUUUAAGAUCUUUUUCCAGGUAUUUUUUUUGUCACUCAGUAAUUUCGAUUGUUUUUUUCUGGGUAUUUGAUCUCUAUAAUGGAAAAUCUCAGCAUUUUUGGAAGAUAUUAUUUCUCUUCCUUUCUUUUAUUUUCUUUCUACUUUUUCCUUCGUUUGUUUUGUGGAAUUUUGAAUUGGAAAUUAAGGUUACCUUUGCUCCGAUUGUGACUGAAAAAUUCAAAAAACAUUUGGUGGGUUUUUUAGUGUAAGUUGAACUGCAUGAUCAUUGAUCAUCUCUCUCUUUCUCUCUCUCUGAAGUAAUGUUCCUGUAUUACUUUUAUGAUGUUGGAAAAGGAACACCAUUUUCCAUUGCUUUGAUGUGUUAUGGCUCCCGAUUUACAAACAAAAGGUCUUCGCAUAUUCUGUUUGGAGUUUUUUGAGUAAAUAAGCUUAUGAGUCUUUUGCAUUAUUUCUUCCAGAGUGGAACAAGUAUCAAAGGUUUCAAAAGUUAUUUAUGAAUUACCAAAGCUUGUAAGCUCAUUUCAGGUAUUGAAAGAAGACUUAAUUUUGCUUUUCCUUUUUUUUUUUUAUUAAUUACUUUGAAAGUAGCCUUCUUUGGUGUUAUAUCUUUGCUUUAAUGCAGAUAGUCAAACUUUCAACUGCAUAGAUAAUUGGGAAAAGGGAAAUUUAUCAAAAUGCACCGAGAUGAACUAUUUAGCAGUUUCUGGUCUUUAAUUUAAUUUUGAAAAGUCCAUCAAAAUGCACACGAUCAUGAGUUGGAAUAGCUGAGAAAAGGGGUAAAAUGUCCAACAAUCGAAAAGCUAGGUGUAUUUAGAUAAAUUUCCCUUGGGAAAUUAAUCUUAUGGUGCAUAAAAUUCGCAUGUCUUUGGCAUGCAUUACACUAUAGAUAAUUGCCAUUCUUCUUGUUACGUUUACAUGACCAGAUUAUGUCAUCCAUUUCAGGGUUUUUGCCAUUGUAAUUAGUUUGAAGAAAGGAAUGGCGUUGUAAAUAUAAAAUUUGCUUUUUAAUUAUGCUUUCUAUUGUUGUUUUCCUCUUCAUUUUACUGUUUAUGUAUAUGCUAGGGUUCCAAUUACUAUGGCAAAGUUUGUUUGAGGAAAAUGGGGGAUAUGAAGGAUGUAGUGAAUGCAAUGGAUCAGAGCAAGAAGAGGAGAGCUGUGAGAGCAGUUUGGAUGCCGCUCAGUGCUCACUUGAGUUCUUCGGAAGGUUGGUUUCUUUCUAUUCUCUACUAUGGUUAUGUGUUCAGGGAGAAUUUUGAAUGAGAAAUGAGAAAACUUGGAAGAUAUUUCGCAUUUAUUGAGUGUUGUCAUUUGAAUGCUGCAUUUACUAUGCAUGGCGUCUUUUUUUUUUAUUUCCCCUUUUUCUCUUUUAUUUUAUUUUAUUUUAUUUUAAAGUUUUUAUCAUUAUUAUGGAAACAAAUUCAAUUGUGAGUUGUUCAUCAUUGUCUGGGUUCUUUCUAGAAACCAUUUUGGUUUACAAGUUCUUCUAUUUUGUGAUGAUGUGAAGUUUUUCUUUUUCCUUUUUAUUAAUGUACUAUUAUUGCUGAUUUAAUAAGUAACUCAAGAGAUACCUAUAAAUACAGAAUCUCCAUGGGUACUCCUAACAAUGAAUCCCCAUCUGGAGACCCAUAUGGAGAAAGGACAUCUAUGUAUACAUACUAAAGCUCUGUAUCCAAUGAACAGAUGUUCUCUAGAAUCCCUUUACGCUUGUCAGCUCUACAUCUCACCUUUCUGAUCUCUUGUUCUCCUAUGGGUGCUAUGGACAGGGCAUCUGUAUUUAUUUUUGUGCACUAUCUUCAAUUCCCAAUCCCUUUAUUCAAUUACAACUCUCUUUCUCUUAUGAUAAUAAUUGCCUGUAUUUAGCUGACCCCAACUAGUUGGGUUAAGGCUCGGAUGAUAAUGAUGAUGAUGAUCUUACUCUAGAAAUUCUAUUAUUACUCUGUCUCCAUGGCCCAAAAGAUAGCUAGAGGAAUUAUCGCUGGCGUAGAGUGGCCAAAAUCCCAAGAAAAAAUACAGCCCGUAUGGACUCUAGUAGUGCCCCUGGACCAUAGAGACCUAAAAUAUGAACCUAAAACCCUGUUCCAUGAAUGAUCUAAUAAAUUGCAACCAUCCGCUAGAAAGAUUGCUCAUCAUGCCAAGCCUAUUAAUGCUCACCUUCUUUUCUCUACAACUCCUUUCUACUGUCUAUAUAUCAUUCUCUUGUGGAACACUUAGGUUUCGUGUGAUUUUUGGAAUUGCUGAGUGUUCCUAUGGGACUGUGUAUGUGUGUGUGUGUACACACAUAUUUGGGUGAGGUUUAUAUAAGGCACCCCCCUUAUACUAUAUAGGUAAGGUGCGCCUCUAAAUUUUACCCAAAGAUGUAGUUCUUAAGUUGGAAACCUUAUGAUGCCUUGAAAAUCCAUGUUCCAACCCUAAUUAUGAAAUUUAAAAUUUCGAAAAUGUUACAAAUUGAGCAUAUCUAUAAACACUUGAAAAUCUUGAAAAUAGACAAUAACUUGAUAGAAGAUGCACUAUUUUUAGGACUUGAAAUUCUUUUUUUCUUUAUAUCUUGAUAUGAUCAAUUGGAAGGUUUUCCAACUUCGGAAAGCUCUUUUCUAUUGGAUCUUUGUGGUGCAUGUUACUUCUAUAGUACAAGGUUGCAACCUUAUAUAAACUGUUUCCUAUAUAUAUAUUAUUUUUGACAACGUCCUAUUUUCUCAUUUUACAGACUUGGGAAUCGAUAAAUCCAUAUUUAUCAAUCCAAAAACAUUUCAUUUGACUGUUCUCAUGCUUAAAUUGUGGAAUGAGGAACGCGUUGCUACAGCUGCUGAGGUUUUACAGGUAGAGGAUCAAUCCAUUCAAAAGUAUCAUAUGUACUAAUGGUAGGAGUUCCAAGGUUAUGAUUUUUUUGCUGAUACAUGCAGAAAGUCUCUCCAAAAGUGAUGAACGCUUUGAAAGACCAUCCAAUUUCCAUCAGGUUGAAAGGGUUGGUAUGUUUAUUUUAUUUUUUCCUUUUACUUCUACUCAAAAGUUCACGAUUUCCUUUCCUUUUCUUUCUUUUAUUUUGUUUUAUUUUUGUUUUUGGUGGCGGGGGAUGUAUGUAUUAUCAUUCAAUGAAUCCCUGAGUUUGAUGUUUCGAUUAUAUUUUCCUCAAGAUUAGCAUGUUGCUUCAUGUACCAGGUGAAGGCAGUAGGGCGUUAAAUAAAAAACUGAUGAGUAAGAAAAAAAAACUUAACCAUUUGAAGGGUUUACCUAUUAUUAAUGAUUUCUUGGUCUCAAGCAUUGCCCUAUAAUGGUCCAUUCUUUUUUUAAUAGGUUUCUCAUAUGUUAAUGUGUUUUCAUAAUCUUUUGUUGAAGCUUAGUUUCCUUGUGUCAGAUGUUUGCUCAUAAUUUUUUAUUGUUGGGUAAUGUUCCUUGUAGUGUUUGUUCUCAACACCUCAUCUUUACAAUGUAAUGUAUUAGAGGCACUGCUGCACUGAGUCGUAUUCACUUCGACUAUCUAAAUGCUUGCAAUGAUUUAUUGUCUAGCAUAAUUUUAUUAGGAUUUUCUUACGGAUGAACUUUGUAUUUUCAGUAGUUUUGUCAUGACAUGGUUUGAACUUGAAGCUACGCUAAACUAGUUUGUAUAUCAUGCAGUUAAUGCAAUAACGUUUCCUAGUUCAAGUUCUGAGCUAGAAUAGGAAUUUGCUUCGGCACUGGAUGAUUUUUUCCCCUCAUUUCUCUGCAUGGAUUUUACUAUUUAGGUUUAAAAUAGCUGGAUUAUGAUGUUUUUUGAGAGAUUGCUUGGUUUUGUUGGUCUCGUAUAUAUUGAGAUUUUGCUGUUUCUUACAUUUUCCUUCUAAUAGUUAGUUGAAUGAGGCAAAUUACUUCUCAAGUGGAGUUAAUGUUGUAUGUAAUAAUAUGUUGAAAAUGAUGGAUCACUGAAAUCCUUAUAAAUAAAGAUUCUAAUGGCUAGUAAUGAUGCCUUUUCCUUGUUUAAUCUUUUGAUGGGUCUUGGGGCCUCAUAGAAUCACACUACCCUUAAUUUUCUUGAUUAUUGUAUUGCAUGUAGUUUUUGUGAUAUCACUUAGAUUUGCAGAUAUUCUCAAUCUCCAGUCUUGGAUGACUUCAUGUUAGUGUGUGUGUAUGAGGUGAAUUUUCAGGAAGUGCAUUGUUUCUCUCAUGUACAGGACUGCAUGAGAGGUUCAGUUUCAGAAGCCUGUGUUUUAUAUACUCCAGUUGAGGAGAUUGGUGGCGAGGGUCGCUUGAUGCGGGCUUGUCGUAUCCUGAAUAUAUGUAUAAUGUUUUUGUUUUUACCCCCCUUCAGAAGUUAUAUACAAUAUAUUUAUAAUAUUUCCAGUGCAACUUUAUGGAUAAUUGUCACCGAAAUAAUUAGUACACUAACUUUUUCCUUUUUCUUAAUUUUUUCUUUCUGAUGUUAUAUUUGAAUUUUCCUUUCUUGCUGAUUUUCUUGAGCUUUCCAUAGAAGUCAUUAUUGAUGCCUAUGUGAAAGCUGGCCUUGUUCUCCAGAAGGAUGCGUGCCAAAAGUUGAAGGUAUUGUAUUUUUUAUCCUAGUAUGAUCUGUGGCACCUUGUAAAAUGACUCAAUGUUAUAAUAGUUUUGAUAGUGGUGUUAUUUCUGUUUCUUAAAUUUUUAUUUCUUUUGCAAUGUUCUUUGGAGACAUUCAACUUAAUAGCUAUGUUCAUUAGGUCUGUAUUGUAGACUUCCAAUCUAGUGCACUAUUAUCAUCCAUGUAAAAUAAUUGUAAGAUUUACUUUGAAACCGAGUCACUGUUAUUUCUUUUUCUUGAAAACUGGGGGCUUUUCUAAGGUUUCCUCUAAUGGGAUUUUUUUAAGAUCGUAGCAUUAGGGUGGUGAUACAUUCCACUACUAUGAUUUAGGUCUGUUAAAAUAAUCAUAAAAAAUAACCAAAAGGAUAUCUAGAAAAUGGAAAAAAAAAAUACAGAAAACAGAACAUUAAGUGGUAAUGAUUAAAUUAGCUUUUUUUUUGCAGUUGCAUGGGACAGUCAUGAAUGUAAAGUUUAGGAAAAGGUACUUUUAUGUCUUCUCUUCCGUCUAUUGUCAUUUUGGGAAACUAUACCGGGGGAGUCUUUUGUGGUACAUGGUGCACAGCUGGACCAUCCACAGAUCAUUCACAAAAACGGAUGGUAGAGAUCAACUAAAAGCUACCUAUGAUGGACACAUUUAGAUUUAAUCUGCACCUUCCAUUGUGGAGAAUGGUCAGUGGAUGCCCCAGAUGUGUAUCGCGUACAGGCUGUAUAUAUAUGCUUUCCUUUUUAGCUUUGAUAAUAGAUUUUGCACCGUCAAAGUUUGGAAAAGGAAUGGUAAAACCCAUAUUUGAUAAAUUUGCAAUUGCGCGUCAUUACUGUCGCUGUUUAGGACGACGAGAACGAGGAAGAUCGGUUCCUUUGAUGCUCGCGACAUUUUCGAACGAUAUGGGUCUGAAGAGUGGGGUGAGUAUGUGAUUGGUGAGGCGCAUUUAUCGCAUUUACAUGUUCAAUAAGUGUUUUUAUUGGGUAGUUUUUGAAUUAGGAUUUUGUCUCUUACUGUAUGGAUUGUUAAUCAGAUUAUGCAAUUAUUUUAUUUUCAAAGAAGAAAAAUCUAAUUGUGUUUUUCAUUUCUUGAUGUAUGCCCUUUUUGUUGCUAAACACAAUUCAUGCUUCACCUUCAUCGCUCAUUGUUGGGAACCUUUGUGGAUGCCCUGUCUAUGCACAUGUACAGGCUGUGUAUGUGAUAUACUUCCCUUCCCAACUAACAAAGUGGUCGUUACAAAAGAUUUGCCAUGUUUUUGAUCAAGAUUUAUAAGGUCAAGGGGGAUAUUAAAAGUAAUCUGAU
rnacentral:lncRNA from 1 species